rnacentral:rRNA from 1 species
AGAGUUUGAUCAUGGCUCAGAUUGAACGCUGGCGGCAGGCCUAACACAUGCAAGUCGAGCGGCAGCGGGACCUUCGGGUUGCCGGCGAGCGGCGGACGGGUGAGUAAUGCCUAGGAAUCUGCCUGUUAGUGGGGGAUAACGCGGGGAAACUCGCGCUAAUACCGCAUACGUCCUACGGGAGAAAGUGGGGGACCCUCGGGCCUCACGCUAACAGAUGAGCCUAGGUCGGAUUAGCUAGUUGGUGGGGUAAAGGCCCACCAAGGCGACGAUCCGUAACUGGUCUGAGAGGAUGAUCAGUCACACUGGAACUGAGACACGGUCCAGACUCCUACGGGAGGCAGCAGUGGGGAAUAUUGGACAAUGGGCGAAAGCCUGAUCCAGCCAUGCCGCGUGUGUGAAGAAGGUCUUCGGAUUGUAAAGCACUUUAAGUUGGGAGGAAGGGCGCUCGGUGAAUACCCAAGCGUCUUGACGUUACCGACAGAAUAAGCACCGGCUAACUUCGUGCCAGCAGCCGCGGUAAUACGAAGGGUGCAAGCGUUAAUCGGAAUUACUGGGCGUAAAGCGCGCGUAGGUGGUUCGGCAAGUUGGAUGUGAAAGCCCCGGGCUCAACCUGGGAACCGCAUCCAAAACUACUGGGCUAGAGUACGGUAGAGGGUGGUGGAAUUUCCUGUGUAGCGGUGAAAUGCGUAGAUAUAGGAAGGAACACCAGUGGCGAAGGCGACCACCUGGACCGAUACUGACACUGAGGUGCGAAAGCGUGGGGGAGCAAACAGGAUUAGAUACCCUGGUAGUCCACGCCG